rnacentral:tRNA from 5 species
GCCGGCAUAGCUCAGUGGUAGAGCAACCGCCUUGUAAGCGGUAGGUCGUCUGUUCGAGUCAGACUGUCGGCACCA